rnacentral:rRNA from 1 species
AAACCUCCGCAAUGCACGCAAGUGCGACGGGGGAACCCCAAGUGCCACUCUUAACGGGGUGGCUUUUCAGAAGUGUAAAAAGCUUCUGGAAUAAGGGCUGGGCAAGACCGGUGCCAGCCGCCGCGGUAACACCGGCAGCUUAAGUGGUAGCCGCUUUUAUUGGGCCUAAAGCGUCCGUAGCCGGUCUGAUAAGUCUCUGGUGAAAUCCCGCAGCUUAACUGUGGGAAUUGCUGGAGAUACUAUCAUGACUCGAGGUCGGGAGAGGCUGGAGGUACUCCCAGGGUAGGGGUGAAAUCCUGUAAUCCUGGGAGGACCACCUGUGGCGAAGGCGUCCAGCUGGAACGAACCUGACGGUGAGGGACGAAAGCCAGGGGCGCGAACCGGAUUAGAUACCCGGGUAGUCCUGGCCGUAAACGAUGUGGACUUGGUGUUGGGAUGGCUUCGAGCUGCCCCAGUGCCGAAGGGAAGCUGUUAAGUCCACCGCCUGGGAAGUACGGCCGCAAGGCUGAAACUUAAAGGAAUUGGCGGGGGAGCACCACAACGCGUGGAGCCUGCGGUUUAAUUGGAUUCAACGCCGGA